GGCCUCGUGGCCCAAUGGCAAGGCGUCUGACUACGAAUCAGGAGAUUCUGGGUUCGACCCCCAGCGAGGUCA